GACGAACGCUGGCGGCGUGCUUAACACAUGCAAGUCGAACGGAACGGCCCUGCCUUUGUGGGGUGCUCGAGUGGAGAACGGGUGAGUAACACGUGAGUAACCUGCCACUGACUUUGGGAUAACUUAAGGACACUGGGGCUAAUACCGGAUAGGAGCUCCUGCUGCAUGGUGGGGGUUGGAAAGUUUCGGCGGUUGGGGAUGGACUCGCGGCCUAUCAGCUUGUUGGAGGGGUAGUGGCUUAGCAAGGCUAUGACGGGUAGCCGGCCUGGGAGGGUGACCUGCCCCAUUGGGCUGGGACUGCGGCCCGGCCUCCUACGGUAGGCAGCGCUGGGGUAGGGUGCACAAGGGGCUGAGCCCUAGUGCAGCCACGCCGCGUGCCGUAUGACAUCAAUCGGUUUGGAUUCCACUGUCGCCUUUCACGAAACGUGAGUGACGGUAAUGGGUAAAUAAGCACCGGCUAACUACGUG
rnacentral:rRNA from 1 species